GCAAGUCUGGUGCCAGCAGCCGCGGUAAUUCCAGCUCCAAUAGCGUAUAUUAAAGUUGUCGCAGUUAAAAAGCUCGUAGUUGAACCUCGGGAUCAAUGGAUCGGUCAUGCCAUCGGUAUGUACUGGUCUCAUUGGUUCUCACCUUCUAAGGAACCAUGAUGUCAUUCAGUUGAUGUUGUGGGGAAUUAGGACUGUUACCUUGAAAAAAUUAGAGUGUUUAAAGCAGGCUAACGCUUGAAUACAUUAGCAUGGAAUAAUGAAAUAGGACAUCGCAUUCUAUUUUGUUGGUUUCUAGGAUCGAUGUAAUGAUUAAUAGGGAUAGUUGGGGGCAUUAGUAUUCAAUUGUCAGAGGUGAAAUUCUUGGAUUUAUUGAAGACUAACUACUGCGAAAGCAUUUGCCAGGGAUGUUUUCAUUAAUCAAGAACGAAAGUUAGGGGAUCGAAGACGAUCAGAUACCGUCGUAGUCUUAACCAUAAACUAUGCCGACUAGGGAUCGGACGAUGUUAACUUUUCUUGACUCGUUCGGCGCCUUACGGGAAAC
rnacentral:rRNA from 1 species